GUGCUCGCUUCAGCAGCCCAUAUGCUAAAAUUGGAAUGAUACAGAGAAGAUUAGCAUGGCCCCUGCUCAAUGAUGACACACAGGUUCAUAAAGUGUUCCAUCGUUUU